GUAGCGUGAUGUUGUUCGUUGCUUCGACCGACUCUGCUCUCUCUGCCACCAGCCUACUACAGUACUACCAGAUGAAGUAACCCCAAAUCCUUCAUCUCCCUCUUCCCUGAUUAAUCGAAGUCCCGGCGUCUCGCCAUUGACGGUUUCAUAUUGUUGUAAGUUGCGACUCCAGUGGUUUCCGAGUCUAGCGCAAGCCCUCUUGCUUCCGCCCUUCCCCUGCCACUUCGGUGCCAGACAAUUCAAGUGUUCGAAGACAUGACCUCCUGUUGAAGCAGCAGGACCGGCGCCGGAGGAGUAGAGAGACAUGUGUUACACAACAUAUCCGGACUGUUGCAGCUAUCCACUAUGCCACUUAAUUUUUCCCCCAACUCCUCUGUCCUCCCGCAGCAGCUUCUAGUGUCUAUUCAUUUAUGCACAUCCUUCAAUAUCUCCGGUCGGCUAUCUAUGCGAACAAACAGAACUACAGAUUUGUUGAAUUGACGGAGUUAGAAUCAGUGUUGACUGGUUUUCUUCUUUAACUUUAGUGUUUAUUUUCACUCUACUCUUCAUUUUCCUGAGAUAUUGAUAUGCUUUAUUUAUGUUGUUGUCAAUUUCCCUCUACCAUUGCUCAGUUUGCAUUUUGACUGAUACUCCAUGUUCAUCUUUUUCUCUUUCAUCCUUUUUUUUUUUAUUCCCGUUUUCUUUCCUUCUUCCUUUAUCGGUCAUUGACUUUAUUCAUUUAUUGAUACCCUGUUUCUGCUAUUGUCUAUGAUUGGGACUCAGCUUCUCUGGCUGUAUGCAAUCUUACUCUUACCUAGUUAAGCCUACCAUCUCUGUCAUUUGGAGAACCCAUCAAGUCCAUCCUUGGAGGGUCUCUCUGUAUUGACCCAGAACACUUAACCCGAUUAUAUCCCUAUAUGGUCAGCAGUGGUUAUUAUAAAUGGGAAAGAAACAGAAGAAGAUGGUAGUUUGAAAGAAGAUAGACUGAGGUUGAAGUGGGUUGAGAUAGGCCCUAAUGUAACAGAAGAACAAAAGCAGGAGAUAUCUCAGUUCCCGCGAAGAUGACCAAACAAUGUAAGGCUUUCAUGAGACAGUCAUUUGUCUCUCCUCUCGAGAGAAAAAUCUGAGUUAUUGGAUGCAUGGGUGAGAAUCAUGAAGCCCAGAAGAGCCGACUGGCUUUCAGUUCUUAAAAGGUUAAAGAGGAUGGAGCAUCCCCUGCUAUUUGAGUCAGAAAAGCCUUCCUUCUAUCGGAUCCAGCCGGAAAAAGUGAACUCCUGUAGGAUCUCCAUUAGUUGGUAAACGUGGAUGCUCGCUGCUAUCGUCGCUGUUAUCGCCGCCAUUGCUAUUGCCACCGCCGUCGCCGCUACAAGCAGAAGAGGUUGCUCCCCAUGACUCGCAAGUGAAAGCAGUUGCCGCUGCCAUUGCCGCUGGCACCAUCUGUUGCCGCCGCCGCUACUUAGCGCCACUUCCGUUCAAUUCCACGACCUAUGCUAACAUAUCGAUAAUGGUGGAGGGUUUUUUCGUAGAUCCAUUCAGGCGCUUCUUCUGGAGCCCUCCAAUCUUUGGACAGUGGUUUGGAUCACUAGCCCUGAUGGAUUGGCUUGAAACCCCCAAUGCCCACAUCUACAAGGUCAACGUGCCAGGAUUUGGGAAGGAUGACAUAAAGGUUCAGGUAGAAGAUGGGAAUGUUCUACAGAAAAGGGUUUUCAUGCUAUGGAGGUCAUUGAGCCGAUAAGGUUAAAGGCUACCGCUGCUCCGAUGAAUGAUCACCGGAAAUAGUGAGAGAGAAGAAAAGUGAUGGUAGAGCGUCGGGGUUGGUAGGUUCUGUAAGACAACAAGUAAUCAACGGUAUUGACGUAACCUAUCUAAUCCAAUAGUCUACAUUCGCUAGCAUACCCAAUUCCUGGGUAAGUCGCUAGCAUUCCUAUCCUUUUCCCUAUUUACAUAUUCGAAGUUGUAAAAGAAUGUUCAUACUUUGAAUCAUGUUAUAUAUGUGUGUGUGUGUGUGUGUGUGGGCGCGCACAAGUGCGUGCGUGCAUGUGUGCGUGGCAAAAGAACCUUGUCCUGUUACUGCAAAAAGCACUAGUGCAAGACCAUUAAGAGGUUGCAGACGUCUUUUCUCAUAUCAUGUCUUUGGACAUCUCCUACAUUAGCAGGGUAGGUUCUUUCUCAAAUAUAUUUUAUAGUCUGAUAUUUCACCGGUAAGAUGUGUGUGGAGUCUUUAUAUCAUGGAUCCUCCCUCUUCCAUCUAUCCAAACAUGCCUAAUGACAAGAAAUUAUGUUCUUAAGAUUGACAAUGACUUAUCAUUGGUUUGUGCAUUUUUAUUUAAGCCAUUGGAUUGGUUAUUGUGGUG